GACGAACGCUGGCGGCGUGCUUAACACAUGCAAGUGGAGCGACGAAACCGGGCUUGCCCGGUGGCAGAGCCGCGAACGGGUGAGUAACACGUGGGUAACCUGCCCCGAUGAUUGGGACAACUCCGGGAAACCGGAGCUAAUACCAAAUGUGUUCACAUUCCUGAAGGGGUGUGAGGAAAGGAAGCUUCGGCCUCCGCAUCGGGAUGGGCCCGCGUCCCAUUAGCUUGUUGGUGGGGUAACGGCCUACCAAGGCGACGAUGGGUAGCUGGUCUGAGAGGACGAGCGGCCACACUGGGACUGAGACACGGCCCAGACGCCUAGGGGAGGCAGCAGUGUGGAAUCUUGCGCAAUGCGCGAAAGGGUGACGCAGCAACGCCGCGUGCGGGAAGACUGCCUUCGGGUUGUAAACCGCUUUCAGUUGGGACGAAGCUUCGCCGGUGAAUAGCCGGCUGGAGUGACGGUACCUUCACAAGAAGCACCAGCUAACUACGUGCCAGCAGCCGCGGUAA
rnacentral:rRNA from 1 species